GUGGAUUGCAUGCAGAUAUUUUAUACUUUAUAUUUAGAAAUAAGCAAAUGGAAGGAUGACUAGGGAAGAGAAUUAUAGAGAUGAAAUAGAACUCUAUAGCCAAAACUUAGAUGAUCAUUGAAUGCCGUGCAGGCCACAAAUCAAGAUCUAUAUAAUUAACUUGUAAAGUCUAAAAAUGUAAGAAAUCACAUUGUUACUAAUAUGCUAAAGUCAUGAUCAGUAAUUUAGGUGAUAUUAAAUUUAAUAAGAAGUGGAAAAGUAUUGCAGAAAUGUAAUAUCUGAAAACUAAAAUAAUUUCAAAUUUGGUUGAAGAAGUCUCCUCUUAAACCUUUUGCCAAAUUGUCUUCAGCUCUAUACAUUUUAAAACGUACAAAUUGACCUUCUGUGAUCUCUCACAGGCUCAAAUUUCAUGAAAGAUUUCAUGAUAUGGUAGAAUGCUGUGAAUCUGACCCAUUCUUACUGUUCCUUCUGUAGGUACUAAGUAGCCUACCAUGUCUAGAAUUGACUACUCAGGUUUGUUAGUACUGCACACAGUUGUAUUAAUGUCUUUGAUAAAAUUCAUUUUAGUUUUUGCAUAUGACUUUCAGUUACAUGUCAUUCUUGAAAUCCUCUCUUACUUAUUCAAAUUUCUCAUUAUUUGGCUGGCAUUUUCUCUUCCGUGAACUAAAAUCAUCUCAUUUUAAAUUCACAUAAGACAGAAGUGCAGGCAGUCAGCAUUUGAAUUCUACUUACUAAUUUGUGGAGGUGUGAUUUGGGUGAUUUUUAAGUUAAAAGUAUUUCAGAUUCAUGGGGGUGCUUUUAAAACUUGAUAUUUUACUAAAUUUGUGGUUCUAUAAAUAUCUUUAUUACCAGAAAUCUGAGUUAUUAAGCUUUAUGUAGGUUAUUUCAGAAUUCUAUUGCUUUCACUCAAGUCUUUUUUUAAAAUUCUCAAGCCAAGAAAACUACAUUAUAAUAAUCAUAUUAACAUCUAAAGUUCAAGGCAAAAUGAGCUUUAUUUUAUAUUCCAUUUUAUGAUAUAAUUUUAUAGUAUUUCAAGGCUAGUUUUGUAAAUUAUCGUAGGACUGCAGUUAAAGUUAAGAGAAGACAUGUCUCAUUGUCUAAUACAGUGAGCUGCUUAGAACUAUGAGCAGUGACCAGGCAGCUCUCAAUUGUCAUGAUUUCUGUGCAGGGGGCUACAGUGCUGAUUGGCAAUUUCAUGGAAACUAGACUUGUUAACAGUUGCUUACCCCAGAGUGAUCCUACUAAGAAACUUCAAAUAGGACUAUGCACAAACACGAGCACGUGCACACACACUCUCACAC
rnacentral:lncRNA from 1 species